UGCCAGCCGCCGCGGUAAUACGGGAGUGGCAAGCGUUAUCCGGAAUUAUUGGGCUUAAAGAGCUCGUAGGUGGUUAAAAAAGUUGAUGGUGAAAUCCCAAGGCUCAACCUUGGAACUGCCAUCAAAACUUUUUAGCUAGAGUGUGAUAGAGGUAAGUGGAAUUUCUAGUGUAGAGGCGAAAUUCGUAGAUAUUAGAAAGAACACCAAAUGCGAAGGCAACUUACUGGGUCACUACUGACACUGAGGAGCGAAAGCAUGGGUAGCGAAGAGGAUUAGAUA
rnacentral:rRNA from 1 species